UGGAUGAAUGUGAAACUUUCUCAGAGCAUC
rnacentral:piRNA from 1 species